CGGGACGGGUGAGUAAUGUAUGGGGAUCUGCCUGAUGGCGGGGGAUAACUACUGGAAACGGUAGCUAAUACCGCAUAAUGUCUACGGACCAAAGCGGGGGACCGUCCGGCCCUCGCGCCAUCAGAUGAACCCAUAUGGGAUUAGCUUGUAGGUAAGGUAACGGCUUACCUAGGCGACGAUCCCUAGCUGGUCUGAGAGGAUGAUCAGCCACACUGGGACUGAGACACGGCCCAG
rnacentral:rRNA from 1 species